AUUGAACGCUGGCGGCAGGCCUAACACAUGCAAGUCGAACGAGUGGCGGACGGGUGAGUAAUGUCUGUGAAACUGCCCGAUGGAGGGGGAUAACUAAUGGAAACUGUAGCUAAUACCGCAUACCGUCGGCUGGUCCCAAAUGGGUUUAGCUAGUAGGUGGGGUAACGGCUUACCUAGGCGACGAUCCCUAGCUGGUCUGAGAGGAUGCCCAGCCACACUGGAACUUAGACACGGUCCAGACUCCUACGGGAGGCAGCAGUGGGGAAUAUUGCACAAUGGGCGCAAGCCUGAUGCAGCCAUGCCGCGUGUAUGAAGAAGGCCUUCGGGUUGUAAAGUACUUUCAGCGAGGAGGCGUUACUAGCAGAAGAAGCACCGGCUAACUACGUGCCAGCAGCCGCGGUAAUUC
rnacentral:rRNA from 1 species